rnacentral:lncRNA from 13 species
AUCUAUGGCCAGACCCAAUCUGAGCUGGAGCAGGAGCCAGAACAACUUAGAAGCCUCUCCUACCCGUCUGCCUUCUUGCCCUCCUACUCCGUCCUUCCGUCAGUCAUGGAGCAUUGUCCGCAGAAGGGAACGAAUUUACAUCUCUGGAUUGGGGCAAGUAAGGGUUUCCGAAACCAUCUCAGAGCUGGUUGGGAAGUGAGAUCUCCCCCGGAAAACGGUUGGUUGCAAGAAUGCUGGGAAGGAAAACUCAGGGAAAGGAACCCAGACGUCCAACAUGCAGCGUUGGUGUGGGUCAGGCACGGCCAAGUGAUGGAGGACGAAGAGGUCCAGGAAGGGAAAAGAGCUCCAACCUAUGUCACAGAAGUUCCCUGUGUUCCUCCUGGCUCUUUGUUCAAGACAGCAAAAGAGGAUCCCAAGCAUAGAGCAGCUAAACGCUGGCUUUGAGAUAAGUGAUGUUGAAGCAGUUGCAGCUGGCCAGCCAUCAGACACUGAAGGACUGAGCCCCCACCUGUUCCACAAGCCACAGUGACAGCUUUGAUUGGACAAGAGAUUGAUUUCUGUAACUUUCUUCUGGUAAAAGCCCACCAACCAUGGACUGGUUGGCUGGUUUGACAGAGGAUGCACAUUUGAGUGCCUUCCUGUCCCUGCUUCACCUAAUUCUAUGCAUUUAAAUGUUAAGUCUCCAUCCCAAUGGGACUAUGGGAUGCAUGUGACAUGCAUGUUUGCUUAUCAUGCAUGCUCAUGCCCUUUCAUGAAUAUUCAUAGCACUUCCUGUAUCCUGGUGAAUAUGUAUGCUUUGCCGACCCCUUCCACUGAAAUUCCUAUGUUUUCCCUUUUGUUGAAAAGCUUGCUUUAGGUUUUUUCCAGUGGCAGGCUGCCCUUUCUGCCUGCAGCUUGUAAUUCCAUUCUUAAGAAAUAAAGCUCACCUUUCUAAAUUUCUAAAUUGUGUG